rnacentral:rRNA from 1 species
AACGAACGCUGGCGGCAGGCCUAACACACGCAAGUCGAACGCCCGUAGCAAUACGGGAGUGGCAGACGGGUGAGUAACGCGUGGGAACGUGCCCUUCGGUUCGGAAUAACUCAGGGAAACUUGAGCUAAUACCGGAUACGUCCGUAAGGAGAAAGAUUUAUUGCCGAAGGAUCGGCCCGCGUCGGAUUAGCUAGUUGGUGGGUAACGGCCCACCAAGGCGACGAUCCGUAGCUGGUCUGAGAGGAUGANCAGCCACACUGGGACUGAGACACGGCCCAGACUCCUACGGGAGGGCAGCAGUGGGGGAAUAUUGGACAAUGGGCGAAAGCCUGAUCCAGCCAUGCCGCGUGAUGAAGAAAGGCCUUAGGGUUGUAAAAGCUCUUUCAGCGGGGAAGAUAAUGACGGUACCCGCAGAAGAAGUCCCGGCUAACUUCGU